GUCAGCGGUGUUACAGGAUGCCAACAUGGCGGACGCGCAGUGUAGUUGCGGGUUUCUGUGUUCUUAUGGUGAUAACUACGCUAACAAACAAGCUGGUCGAGAGCGAGGUGCUGGAGAUUCUAAUGGUUCUGUCACGUGACACCUCGUCGGAAAUGGAGAAGAUCCGAGCAUGCGCAAUGCGUGCUCUAGAUAAGGCGGUGGAAUGGGAACUAAUCAAGCCUACAGACAAAUAAUGAUGUACUUUAUUGUGCAUAAUAAUGUGAUAACGUAGGAAAUAUAGAUUUAUUAAGUAAAUGUGUCUUUAAGACAA